GAGCGUGAGAGAGCUAGUGAGUGGAGAGACGGACAUGAGAAGAAGAAAUGCCGAAACGUAAAUGCAACUUCACGGAUGAUUUGCGGAAAAAGUAUUCGUGUUUUCGUCGUGGCCGUGACACAUGGAAAGCAGAAUGCACUGUGUGCAAAGCAGGAACCCAUGUCAUGGGGAGCUAUAACAGUGUGGCGCCAAAAAUCAAGUCCACAGAAGGAAAACCACAAAAUAGGAAAGCAGAAGCUUUUUUGGGGGGCGUGAAGGUAUAUGGAGGUCAAACCCUACCAGCGUGCUCCGUCUAAAAAGGCGUGUUGACUCUGUGCACAUUACCACCGACUCGUGGAGCUGCAUAGUCACACGGGAUAAUUGGGCUGCUUUGCCCCAGCGGGAAACGUGAAACUCAGUUUUUUCAAGGAUAUACAGGAGUCUUCUGGUGACGACCCAGUGCUUUGAGAGCCUCCACCAGCACAUUCAAUGCUCUUUUGAUAUUUAUUAUUCUUUCCUAAAGGGUUACACAUCAUGCUGAAUAACAGUUAUGCAGCAGUUUAACAUCCUGUGGGCCACAUUUUUACCAAGUUCACUACAGUUCUGUUGGUAUGUAGGUGGCAUGACUCGCCACAGCUAAGUUAAUAGUGUGACAUUAUAGCACAAUGACAGUGUAACCUGACUCAGUGUUGUGAACUUCUGCAUUGUAAUACGCUGUAUACUUUUUCAAAUGUCAUGUUUUUCUGUUCUUUUCUCUGUUUGCCAAUCAGCACUCAG